CUGCAUCCACCUUUUCCCAAAGCCUAGUGUUUCCAGCGUCGACAACAGAAAACUCCAAUCCACCCUGUCGAACGCUUUUUCCGCGUCGAUAGCUAACAUGAUGGAAGGGGCUUUAUUGCUGAGAGCUUCGUGUAUCAGGGCAAUGAUCUUCGUGGUGUUGUCUUUGGCUUCCCUAGAGGGGACAAAUCCCGCCUGGUCGGGGUGAAUCAGGGUUGGGAGCAUAGGUUUCAAUCGUAAUGCCAACAUUUUAGUAAAGAUUUUGAUAUCUACAUUAAUCAGCGAGAUUGGUCUGUAACUGCCGCAUAAAUCAGGGUUCU